UUUCCUUUACAGCUCAGCCUUUUUAUGAGGGUUUUGGCUAAAUGCAAACCUUCCGUGCACGCUUAAGGACUAACUUAUGAUUGCUCUGGCAUCACUCGUUCAAUACCAGCGUUAUUAACCCUUAAGUUAAUAAGAAGUGUCAGGUCUCAAAAUGAACUUAAAUGAUAGUAACAGCAACUCCUUUUCCUUUGUACACAAAAACAGACACUUAUUCCCACUUCACAUUCAGAGAGUCCAGCCAACACAGCUGAGGCAGCCUCACAUAUCACUGGCCUUAUAACAGGGGUGAGACGUAGUAGCUCACCCUUCUCUAACUCUUUCCCUCGCUCAUUGUUUUUACAGUGUCAAUCUUUCAAGUCCAUGUCCUGGAUCCAUGAUGCCACAUCAUUCUCUUUUCCCACCCCUCAGGUCUGAUUUGUUCGCUGAUUUUACGAAUUAUCUCCAUGAAUUCUCUCUCUGUGGGAGGUUCUGGAUGCAAUAACAAGCUCCAGGUUGCAGGGGCCAGACCAAGAGUUACCAAGUCCAUGUGUGGACUCAGCUGGGCUACAUGUGGACCUGCUCCAUAUGGUUAGUCCCACUUAUUUCUACUGCCAAAGUGAUGACAAAGAGAUGAUAGCACAACAAUGGUGGCUGUGAAGCAAAAUUGAGCUUUUCCUGCCACAUUCUUGCCAAUUCACGGUUACAAAGCAGAAUGACAUGAAGCAUAUGUCUUUUGUUAAACCAGCGGCAAAGCCAGAGAAAAAUUAGAGCAACGCUAUGGUAACAUCAUGACAAUAGCAAUAGCAAAGAACAAACAUGGACUGGACAACAUUAAGAGAAGACCAAGGGAAUAAAAUAAUAAUGAAAUGCCAUUUCUGUGGAUGUCAAAUGUUUUGGUGAAAGUGCUGUGGGACAUGCAGCAAUAUGCCCAGAUCCUGUUUGUUGGAGACGGACAUGGACAUACUGAAAAAAUUUAUGUGAAAAAAUUUAUGUGGCGUACGUUGAACGAGUGACUGGCUACCACAACACAAGGCUUAAGGCUCUUGACUCGAGUUCUGGGUUGGAUACAAAAACAAGGACUGGCCACAUAAAUGCUCUAUCUUUGGGAAUUUAAAUCUCACCAGAUGCCAACAGCGAAUGGAGUUAUUUGGAAAACAGAAAUGACUAUAUAUCUUUACACCCUGCAGUCUACACAUGAGUGUGUGUUAGCCAUCCGGUCUGGUUUAAUAUUGUGACAUGAACAAAAAGCAUUGAGAGCCUUAAAGUUAUAAAUACCUUCCUUGUAAAAGCCUUAUAACAAUGUGUGUUAGAGUCUAACAAGUCUAAAUUAAUGAGGCCAAUAAAACUGUAUAUUUAGACAUUUAAUGACAUCCACGUACAGUGACCACUAAAAUGAUGUGUACAGUUAAGCUAUAUACUUAAAAAUUAAAAAAGAUUCCAAGG